rnacentral:lncRNA from 1 species
AGAUUCUCUGGAAUUUUCUGCAUAGACAAUUAUGUUGUCCACAGAUCGAAACCAUUUAUUCCUUUCUAAUCUGUACGCCUUUUCUUUUCUUUUUUUCUCUUUUUAUUGUUUGCUCCUCCUUCCCUUCAUGUGUCACUUUCCACCUCUGUCCCUUCUCUCCCCUUCCCUCUCUCACUCCUCCCUUAUUACAUUGGCUAAUAUGAAUAGAUCUCACUACUAACAGCCGAGAGCCUUGCGUGUUCUUGAACUUAAAGGGAAAGCAUUCAGUCUUUUGCUAAGAG